rnacentral:rRNA from 1 species
AUUGAACGCUGGCGGCAGGCCUAACACAUGCAAGUCGAGCGCGCGGCGGACGGGUGAGUAAUGUAUGAGGCUCUGCCCGAUAGAGGGGUAUAACUACUAGAAACUGUGUCUAAUACCGCAUACUAUCUUAUGACCCCAUAUGGGAUUAGCUAGUAGGUGGGGGAAAGGCUCACCUAGGCGACGAUCUCUAGCUGGUCUGAGAGGAUGAUCAGCCACACUGGGACUGAGACACGGCCCAGACGCCUACGGGAGGCAGCAGUGGGGAAUAUUGCACAAUGGGCGCAAGCCUGAUGCAGCCAUGCCGCGUGUAUGAAGAAGGCCUUAGGGUUGUAAAGUACUUUCAGCGGGGAGGCGUUACCCGCAGAAGAAGCACCGGCUAACUCCGUGCCAGCCGCCGCGGUAAUAC